GGUUAAGCGACUAAGCGUACACGGUGGAUGCCCUGGCAGUCAGAGGCGAUGAAGGACGUGCUAAUCUGCGAUAAGCGUCGGUAAGGUGAUAUGAACCGUUAUAACCGGCGAUUUCCGAAUGGGGAAACCCAGUGUGUUUCGACACACUAUCAUUAACUGAAUCCAUAGGUUAAUGAGGCGAACCGGGGGAACUGAAACAUCUAAGUACCCCGAGGAAAAGAAAUCAACCGAGAUUCCCCCAGUAGCGGCGAGCGAACGGGGAGCAGCCCAGAGCCUGAAUCAGUGUGUGUGUUAGUGGAAGCGUCUGGAAAGGCGCGCGAUACAGGGUGACAGCCCCGUACACAAAAAUGCACAUACUGUGAGCUCGAUGAGUAGGGCGGGACACGUGGUAUCCUGUCUGAAUAUGGGGGGACCAUCCUCCAAGGCUAAAUACUCCUGACUGACCGAUAGUGAACCAGUACCGUGAGGGAAAGGCGAAAAGAACCCCGGCGAGGGGAGUGAAAAAGAACCUGAAACCGUGUACGUACAAGCAGUGGGAGCCUCUUUUAUGGGGUGACUGCGUACCUUUUGUAUAAUGGGUCAGCGACUUAUAUUCUGUAGCAAGGUUAACCGAAUAGGGGAGCCGAAGGGAAACCGAGUCUUAACUGGGCGUUAAGUUGCAGGGUAUAGACCCGAAACCCGGUGAUCUAGCCAUGGGCAGGUUGAAGGUUGGGUAACACUAACUGGAGGACCGAACCGACUAAUGUUGAAAAAUUAGCGGAUGACUUGUGGCUGGGGGUGAAAGGCCAAUCAAACCGGGAGAUAGCUGGUUCUCCCCGAAAGCUAUUUAGGUAGCGCCUCGUGAAUUCAUCUCCGGGGGUAGAGCACUGUUUCGGCAAGGGGGUCAUCCCGACUUACCAACCCGAUGCAAACUGCGAAUACCGGAGAAUGUUAUCACGGGAGACACACGGCGGGUGCUAACGUCCGUCGUGAAGAGGGAAACAACCCAGACCGCCAGCUAAGGUCCCAAAGUCAUGGUUAAGUGGGAAACGAUGUGGGAAGGCCCAGACAGCCAGGAUGUUGGCUUAGAAGCAGCCAUCAUUUAAAGAAAGCGUAAUAGCUCACUGGUCGAGUCGGCCUGCGCGGAAGAUGUAACGGGGCUAAACCAUGCACCGAAGCUGCGGCAGCGACACUAUGUGUUGUUGGGUAGGGGAGCGUUCUGUAAGCCUGUGAAGGUGUACUGUGAGGUAUGCUGGAGGUAUCAGAAGUGCGAAUGCUGACAUAAGUAACGAUAAAGCGGGUGAAAAGCCCGCUCGCCGGAAGACCAAGGGUUCCUGUCCAACGUUAAUCGGGGCAGGGUGAGUCGACCCCUAAGGCGAGGCCGAAAGGCGUAGUCGAUGGGAAACAGGUUAAUAUUCCUGUACUUGGUGUUACUGCGAAGGGGGGACGGAGAAGGCUAUGUUGGCCGGGCGACGGUUGUCCCGGUUUAAGCGUGUAGGCUGGUUUUCCAGGCAAAUCCGGAAAAUCAAGGCUGAGGCGUGAUGACGAGGCACUACGGUGCUGAAGCAACAAAUGCCCUGCUUCCAGGAAAAGCCUCUAAGCAUCAGGUAACAUCAAAUCGUACCCCAAACCGACACAGGUGGUCAGGUAGAGAAUACCAAGGCGCUUGAGAGAACUCGGGUGAAGGAACUAGGCAAAAUGGUGCCGUAACUUCGGGAGAAGGCACGCUGAUAUGUAGGUGAAGUCCCUCGCGGAUGGAGCUGAAAUCAGUCGAAGAUACCAGCUGGCUGCAACUGUUUAUUAAAAACACAGCACUGUGCAAACACGAAAGUGGACGUAUACGGUGUGACGCCUGCCCGGUGCCGGAAGGUUAAUUGAUGGGGUCAGCGCAAGCGAAGCUCUUGAUCGAAGCCCCGGUAAACGGCGGCCGUAACUAUAACGGUCCUAAGGUAGCGAAAUUCCUUGUCGGGUAAGUUCCGACCUGCACGAAUGGCGUAAUGAUGGCCAGGCUGUCUCCACCCGAGACUCAGUGAAAUUGAACUCGCUGUGAAGAUGCAGUGUACCCGCGGCAAGACGGAAAGACCCCGUGAACCUUUACUAUAGCUUGACACUGAACAUUGAGCCUUGAUGUGUAGGAUAGGUGGGAGGCUUAGAAGUGUGGACGCCAGUCUGCAUGGAGCCGACCUUGAAAUACCACCCUUUAAUGUUUGAUGUUCUAACGUUGACCCGUGAUCCGGGUUGCGGACAGUGUCUGGUGGGUAGUUUGACUGGGGCGGUCUCCUCCUAAAGAGUAACGGAGGAGCACGAAGGUUGGCUAAUCCUGGUCGGACAUCAGGAGGUUAGUGCAAUGGCAUAAGCCAGCUUGACUGCGAGCGUGACGGCGCGAGCAGGUGCGAAAGCAGGUCAUAGUGAUCCGGUGGUUCUGAAUGGAAGGGCCAUCGCUCAACGGAUAAAAGGUACUCCGGGGAUAACAGGCUGAUACCGCCCAAGAGUUCAUAUCGACGGCGGUGUUUGGCACCUCGAUGUCGGCUCAUCACAUCCUGGGGCUGAAGUAGGUCCCAAGGGUAUGGCUGUUCGCCAUUUAAAGUGGUACGCGAGCUGGGUUUAGAACGUCGUGAGACAGUUCGGUCCCUAUCUGCCGUGGGCGCUGGAGAACUGAGGGGGGCUGCUCCUAGUACGAGAGGACCGGAGUGGACGCAUCACUGGUGUUCGGGUUGUCAUGCCAAUGGCACUGCCCGGUAGCUAAAUGCGGAAGAGAUAAGUGCUGAAAGCAUCUAAGCACGAAACUUGCCCCGAGAUGAGUUCUCCCUGACCCUUUAAGGGUCCUGAAGGAACGUUGAAGACGACGACGUUGAUAGGCCGGGUGUGUAAGCGCAGCGAUGCGUUGAGCUAACCGGUACUAAUGAACCGUGAGGCUUAACCUU
rnacentral:rRNA from 1 species